AUUGAACGCUGGCGGCAGGCCUAACACAUGCAAGUCGAACGAGUGGCGGACGGGUGAGUAAUGUCUGGGAAACUGCCUGAUGGAGGGGGAUAACUACUGGAAACGGUAGCUAAUACCGCAUACCAUCGGAUGUGCCCAGAUGGGGUGAGCUAGUAGGUGGGGUAAAGGCUCACCUAGGCGACGAUCCAUAGCUGGUCUGAGAGGAUGACCAGCCACACUGGAACUGAGAAACGGUCCAGACUCCUACGGGAGGCAGAAGUGGGGAACAGUGCACAAGGGGCGAAAGCCGUCUGCAGCCAGGCCGCGUGUAUGAAGAAGGCCUUCGGGUUGUAAAGUACGUUCAGCGGGGAGGCGGUACCCGAAGAAGAAGCACCGGCUAACUCCGUGCCAGCAGCCGCGGUAAUAC
rnacentral:rRNA from 1 species